UCGAGGAUCAUUCGCAAUGGGCGCAAGCCUGACGAUGCGACGCUGCGCGGAGGAUGAAGGCCUUCGGGUUGUAAACUCCUGUCAUUCGGGAACAAUAAACCGAUCAUUAAUAAUGGUUGGAAUCGAUAGUACCGGAAGAGGAAGCCACGGCUAACUCUGUGCCAGCAGCCGCGGUAAUACAGAGGUGGCGAGCGUUGUUCGGAUUUACUGGGCGUAAAGGGUGCGUAGGUGGUUUUAUGUGUCGGGCGUGAAAGCCCACUGCUCAACGGUGGAAUGCCGUCCGAAACUAUAAGACCAGAGCGCAGGAGAGGAGAGCGGAAUUCUUGGUGUAGCGGUGGAAUGCGUUGAUAUCAAGAAGAACACCAGUGGCGUAGGCGGCUCUCUGGAAUGUUACUGACACUGAGGCACGAAAGUUGGGGGAGCAAACAGG
rnacentral:rRNA from 1 species